rnacentral:rRNA from 1 species
AAACCAGCACCUCAAGUGGUCAGGAUGAUUAUUGGGCCUAAAGCAUCCGUAGCCGGCUCAGUAAGUUUUCGGUUAAAUCUGUACGCUCAACGUACAGGCUGCCGGGAAUACUGCAGAGCUAGGGAGUGAGAGAGGUAGACGGUACUCGGGAGGAAGUGGUAAAAUGCUUUGAUCUUUCGAUGACCACCUGUGGCGAAGGCGGUCUACCAGAACACGUCCGACGGUGAGGGAUGAAAGCUGGGGGAGCAAACCGAAUUAGAUACCCGAGUAGUCC